rnacentral:rRNA from 1 species
UACGUAGGGGGCGAGCGUUGUCCGGAGUUACUGGGCGUAAAGGGCAUGCAGGCGGUCCGACACGUUUUGUGUGACAGCGGGUGGCUUAACUACCCGAGGAUGCGAAAGACGGUUGGACUUGAGGACUCGAGAGGGACACGGAAUUCCGGGUGGAGUGGUGAAAUGCGUAGAGAUGCGGAGGAACACCGAUGGCGAAGGCAGCCCCCUGGGCUAACACUGACGCUCAGGCACGAAAGCGUGGGGAGCAAACAGG